GUAGGGAAUAUUGCGCAAUGGACGAAAGUCUGACGCAGCGACGCCGCGUGAGUGAUGAAGGCCUUAGGGUCGUAAAGCUCUGUUGAAUGGGAAGAAAAAAAUGACGGUACCAUUCGAGGAAGGACCGGCUAACUUCGUGCCAGCAGCCGCGGUAAUACGAGGGGUCCUAGCGUUGUUCGGAAUCAUUGGGCGUAAAGGGUGUGUAGGUGGCCAUGUAAGUCAGGUGUGAAAGCCCCGGGCUCAACCCGGGAAGUGCACUUGAUACUGCGUGGCUUGAGUACCGAAGAGGGUAGUGGAAUUCCAGGUGUAGGGGUGAAAUACGUAGAUAUCUGGAGGAACACCGGUGGCGAAGGCGGCUACCUGGUCGAGUACUGACACUGAGACACGAAAGCAUGGGGAUCAAACAGGAUUAGAUACCCCAGUAGUCC
rnacentral:rRNA from 1 species